rnacentral:rRNA from 1 species
UGGGAGGCAGCAGUUGGGCGCAAGCCUGAUCCAGCCAUGCCGCGUGAGUGAUGAAGGCCCUAGGGUUGUAAAGCUCUUUCACCGGAGAAGAUAAUGACGGUAUCCGGAGAAGAAGCCCCGGCUAACUUCGUGCCAGCAGCCGCGGUAAUACGAAGGGGGCUAGCGUUGUUCGGAUUUACUGGGCGUAAAGCGCACGUAGGCGGACAUUUAAGUCAGGGGUGAAAUCCCAGAGCUCAACUCUGGAACUGCCUUUGAUACUGGGUGUCUGGAGUAUGGAAGAGGUGAGUGGAAUUCCGAGUGUAGAGGUGAAAUUCGUAGAUAUUCGGAGGAACACCAGUGGCGAAGGCGGCUCACUGGUCCAUUACUGACG